rnacentral:sRNA from 1 species
UUUUUUUGCUAAUUCUUUGAGUUCUGGUUGUGUAUACUUAAUAAAGUAGGAUAAUGUCGUAUUUAUAUAUAUAUAUAUAUAUAUGUUUACACUUAUAUAACAGUGUAACACAUGAAUUCAUGUUCUAAUCGAUUUUUUCUUACAUAUAAAUUAAAAAGUUACAGAAACUAUUCCAUUUCAAACUAUAGCUACAGUUUAAAUCAUCUAAAGA